rnacentral:rRNA from 1 species
ACGGGAGGCAGCAGUGGGGAAUAUUGGGCAAUGGGCGCAAGCCUGACCCAGCAACGCCGCGUGAAGGAAGAAGGCUUUCGGGUUGUAAACUUCUUUUAGGGGGAAGAGGAGAAGACGGUACCCCUAGAAUAAGCCACGGCUAACUACGUGCCAGCAGCCGCGGUAAUACGUAGGUUGCAAGCGUUGUCCGGAUUUACUGGGUGUAAAGGGCGUGUAGGCGGAACUGCAAGUCAGAUGUGAAAUCCCGGGGCUCAACCCCGGAACUGCAUUUGAAACUGUAGUCUUUGAGUAUCGGAGAGGCAAGCGGAAUUCCUAGUGUAGCGGUGAAAUGCGUAGAUAUUAGGAGGAACACCAGUGGCGAAGGCGGCUUGCUGGACGACAACUGACGCUGAGGCGCGAAAGCGUGGGGAGCAAACAGGAUUAGAUACCCUGGUA